UCAGACAUUAUUUUUUUUGAAGACCAAGAUUAUGUGUGUGGCUAUGGUUCCUAUGGAACCUGUUGAAGAAGAAGAGAGAGGAUUGAGAAAUAAAGCCCACUAAAAUUGAAGGAAAAAUGAAUAGGACAAACUUUUCUCUCUCCUCUAAUUUUCUCUUCCCUCUGCGUCUCAACCUUUAGAUCAAUCCAACAGUCCAGAAUUUCACAAGACACACAACAGGACAUUAAAAGGCAG
rnacentral:lncRNA from 1 species